AAAUAUGUUACUGCCAUUGUCAAAUACAGGCUUAUCUAUUUAAUCCUUAGCCUAUGACCUGCGCAAAUAGCCAUGUUGCAACUUCAGGUUGGACUACUUCUUGUGCGCGCACUAUC